AAGGGCACCACAAGAACGCGUGGAGCAUGUGGCUUAAUUUGACCCAACGCGGGAAAUCUUGCCAGGUCCGGACAUAUUGAGGAUUGACAGGCGAUAGGAUAUAUUAUUAUUAUAUAUAUUCAUAAAAAUGAUAGUCCUUUCAUGAUUAUAUGAUAGGUGGUGCAUGGCCGUUCUUAGUUCGUGGAGUGAUCUGUCUGCUUAAUUGCGUUUCAGAUAUAAUAAUAAUAUUUAAUAUAUAUUUUUAUUAAUAUUAUUAUGUAUAUAUAUUGUUCUGCCUUUUUUUAAAGGAUUUAAAGUGAACAUAUAUAUAUUAUUAUAUAUUAUAUUAUAUAUAUUAUUAUAUAUUAAAAUGAAUGCAACGAACGUGACCG
rnacentral:rRNA from 1 species